ACAGUAGUCACGUAGUUUGAUCAUGGACUCAAGAACGAACGCUGGCGGCAUGCCUAACACAUGCAAGUCGAACGAGACCUUCGGGUCUAGUGGCGCACGGGUGCGUAACACGUGGGAAUUUGCCUCGGGGUAUGGAAUAACUCAGGGAAACUUGAGCUAAUACCAUAUAAUGUCUUCGGACCAAAGAUUUAUCGCCCUGAGAUAAGCCCGCGUAGGAUUAGCUAGUUGGUGGGGUAAAGGCUCACCAAGGCGACGAUCCUUAGCUGGUCUGAGAGGAUGAUCAGCCACACUGGGACUGAGACAUGGCCCAGACUCCUACGGGAGGCAGCAGUGGGGGAAUAUUGGACAAUGGGCGAAAGCCUGAUCCAGCAAUGCCGCGUGAGUGAUGAAGGCCUUCGGGUUGUAAAGCUCUUUUACUCGGGACGAUAAUGACGGUACCGAGAGAAUAAGCCCCGGCUAACUCCGUG
rnacentral:rRNA from 1 species